GACGAACGCUGGCGGCGUGCUUAACACAUGCAAGUCGAGCGGAGCGGCGCACGGGUGAGUAACGCGUGAGUAACUGCCCCCCUCUCUGGGAUAACAGUUGGAAACGGCUGCUAAUACCGGAUAGUGGGGGAUGGAUCGCGUCCAAUCCGCUUGGUGGUGGGGUAGUGGCCUACCAAGGCGACGACGGGUAGCCUGCCUGGGAGGGAUACCGGCCCCCUUGGGCUGAGAUGCGGCCCAAACGCCUACGGGAGGAAGUAGUGGGGAAUAGUGCACAUUGGGGGCAACCCUGAUGCAGCAACGCCGCGUUCGGGAUGACGUCCUUCGGGUUGUAAACCGCUUUCAGCCAUGACGCGGUAGUGGCAGAAGAAGCACCGGCUAACUACGUGCCAGCAGCCGCGGUAAUUC
rnacentral:rRNA from 1 species